rnacentral:rRNA from 1 species
AACGAACGCUGGCGGCAUGCCUAACACAUGCAAGUCGAACGAGACCUUCGGGUCUAUUGGCGCACGGGUGCGUAACGCGUGGGAACCUGCCCUUAGGUUCGGCAUAACUCCCCGAAAGGGGUGCUAAUACCGGAUAAUGUCUUCGGACCAAAGAUUUAUCGCCUUUGGAUGGGCCCGCGUUGGAUUAGCUAGUUGGUAGGGUAAAAGCCUACCAAGGCGACGAUCCAUAGCUGGUCUGAGAGGAUGAUCAGCCACACUGGGACUGAGACACGGCCCAGACUCCUACGGGAGGCAGCAGUGGGGAAUAUUGGACAGUGGGCGAAAGCCUGAUCCAGCAAUGCCGGGUGAGUGAUGAAGGCCUUAGGGUUGUAAAGCUCUUUUACCCGGGAUGAUAAUGACAGUACCGGGAGAAUAAGCUCCGGCUAACUCCGUG